UACGUAGGUGACUAGCGUUGUCCGGAUUUACUGGGCGUAAAGAGCGCGCAGGCGGUCGGAUCAGUCGAAUGUGAAAGCCCCCGGCUCAACUGGGGAGGGUCAUUCGAUACUGUCCGACUCGAAGGCAGGAGAGGGAAGCGGAAUUCCCGGUGUAGUGGUGAAAUGCGUAGAUAUCGGGAGGAACACCAGUGGCGAAGGCGGCUUUCUGGCCUGUUCUUGACGCUGAGGCACGAAAGCUAGGGUAGCGAACGGG
rnacentral:rRNA from 1 species